CGGGGUGCAGCAGGCGCGAAAACUUUACAAUGCGGGAAACCGUGAUAAGGGGACACCGAGUGCCAGCAUCAUAUGCUGGCUGUCCAGGUGUGUAAACUACACCUGUUAGCAAGGGCCGGGCAAGACCGGUGCCAGCCGCCGCGGUAACACCGGCGGCCCGAGUGGUGAUCGUGAUUAUUGGGUCUAAAGGGUCCGUAGCCGGUUUGGUCAGUCCUCCGGGAAAUCUGACGGCUCAACCGUUAGGCUUUCGGGGGAUACUGCCAGGCUUGGAACCGGGAGAGGUAAGAGGUACUACAGGGGUAGGAGUGAAAUCUUGUAAUCCCUGUGGGACCACCUGUGGCGAAGGCGUCUUACCAGAACGGGUUCGACGGUGAGGGACGAAAGCUGGGGGCACGAACCGGAUUAGAUACCCGGGUAGUCCCAGCCGUAAACGAUGCUCGCUAGGUGUCAGGCAUGGCGCGACCGUGUCUGGUGCCGCAGGGAAGCCGUGAAGCGAGCCACCUGGGAAGUACGGCCGCAAGGCUGAAACUUAAAGGAAUUGG
rnacentral:rRNA from 1 species